rnacentral:tRNA from 1 species
UCCCUGGUGGCUCAGAUGGUAAAGAAUCCACCUGCAAAGGGGGAGAACCUGGGUUCGAUCCCUGGCUUGGGAA